CGGCAUGCUUACACAUGCAAGUCGAACGGCAGCAGCAGAAGCUUGCUUCUGGCUGGCGAGUGGCGGACGGGUGAGUAAUACAUAGGAAUCUUGCCCUGUAAGUGGGGGACAACUUCGCGAAAGCGUAGCUAAUACCGCAUAAUUUCUUCGGAGCAAAGCAGGGGACCUUUCGGGGCCUUGCGCUUUAGGAUGAGCCUAUGGCAGAUUAGCUUGUUGGUGGGGUAAUGGCCUACCAAGGCAACGAUCUGUAGCUGGUCUGAGAGGACGAUCAGCCACAUUGGGACUGAGACACGGCCCAAACUCCUACGGGAGGCAGCAGUGGGGAAUAUUGGACAAUGGGCGCAAGCCUGAUCCAGCAAUGCCGCGUGAGUGAAGAAGGCCUGCGGGUUGUAAAGCACUUUCAGUAGGGAGGAAAUGCUUAAGAUUAAUACUCUUAAGAGUUGACGUUACCUACAGAAGAAGCACCGGCUAACUCUGUGCCAGCAGCCGCGGUAAUACAGAGGGUGCAAGCGUUAAUCGGAAUUACUGGGCGUAAAGCGUGCGUAGGCGGAGAUUCAAGUCGGAUGUGAAAGCCCUGGGCUUAACCUAGGAACUGCAUUCGAUACUGGAUUUCUAGAGUAUGGUAGAGGAAAGUGGAAUUUUCGGUGUAGCGGUGAAAUGCGUAGGUAUCGGAAAGAACACCAGUGGCGAAGGCGGCUUUCUGGACCAAUACUGACGCUGAGGUACGAAAGCGUGGGGAGCAAACAGGAUUAGAGACCCUGGUAGUCCACGCCGUAAACGAUGAGAACUAGACGUUAGUCUCCUUCUAGUGAGAUUGGUGUCGUAGCUAACGCGUUAAGUUCUCCGCCUGGGGAGUACGGCCGCAAGGCUAAAACUCAAAGGAAUUGACGGGGGCCCGCACAAGCGGUGGAGCAUGUGGUUUAAUUCGAUGCUAC
rnacentral:rRNA from 1 species